CGCUAUAAAACUGAAAUUAUUAUGGAAAAUUUCAGAGAUUUUUACAUUAAAUCCAAGGCACAUGUUACUAUCAGACAUAAGUCAUCAAUUUCUAGAACAUAUUAUACUCUCAAACGCCCACAGGAAGCGUUUUGCCUGAAUGUAUACAUCUUAAUUAAGAAUAUCAAACACAAUUCAACAAUCGAAAUGAACUUUGUUCAUUGGCACAACCAUCCUUUGCGAGUUGAAACUACAUAUCCCACAAAACAAUACCUAAAUGAAUUUUUCAGAAUCACACCACAUAAACAUGGCAGCUACAAUACACGGCUGUUCUUUUGAAGGAACGAGGCAGCGGGUCUUACGUAACUGAAGUUCACAAAAGGAUUCACAUUACUUUUGGGGCUGGCAGCUGGAGAAUCUGACAGUGGCAUUUCAGUCCAUCGUUUCUCAAAAUUUGCAAUGCAGAGUUUCCCAGCUACUUCUGGACGGAAACUGGGCUGAAUUUCCCUUGCCUCCAAUUUCUUCCAGUUGAUUGGCUUCAACCACUUGUGACGCUUAAUUUCUUCACUUCCUGUAGGUCCACUUCCUAGGCGCUUGCUGGCAUCUUUUUGUAGCAGCCCUUUCAACAAAGAAUGUGCUUCACUUGACAAAUAAGCUGGUAGCUUGAUCUUAUCCUUAACAAUCUUCUGUUGAAUUUUCUCCCUGUUCCCACCGAUAAAAGGAGGCUUUCCGGUAAGCAUCUCAUAUAAUAAAAUUCCCACACUCCACCAAUCUGCAGCCUUAUCAUGGCCCUUUCCAAGAACAAUUUCAGGUGCCAUAUACUCAACUGUUCCACACAUAGAGUUUGAUCUUGUAUUUUCGUCAAAUUGCUUUGCCAGGCCAAAAUCAGUCAACAUUACAUGGCCAUCGGUAUCCAACAGGAUAUUUUCAGGUUUAAGAUCCCUAUGCAUUAUACCAUUUGCAUGAAGGUGGGAUACCGCAGAAACAAUCUCAGCAGCAUAUAUACGAGCCAGAUCCUCUCUGAAAAGGCCAUGGUGAUAGAGCUGAAAAAAGAGGUGACCCCCAUUGAUGAAAUCCAAAACAAGGUAUAAUCUAUAUUUGGUUUGGAAGGAGUAUUUAAGCUGCACAAUGAAAGGAUGAUCUAUUUUUGUCAGAAUGUCCCUCUCAGCUUUCAUGUACUCAACAUGAUUCUGCUCCAUUAUCAUGUCCUUGCGCAUGACUUUCAUUGCAUAUAUUUCUGAUGUGCCCUUCUUCCUAACCUGAUAAACUUUCGCAAAUGCACCUUGCCCAACAACUUUCAGAACCUCAAAAUCUUCAAUCCUCAUGCCACGGACCUCCAAAGAAUCUCCACUAACAUUCUCAACAGCUUUCUCAACAGCCUCAUCAUCUAUGGAUGAUUCCUCAAGUUCCGCUAGUUCCAUAGAAUCUUCUGUCUCAUGUAAAGUGAGCUUACUGAGCUUCAGUGACUGGCUAACACAAGAUAAUGGACCAACCAAUGAAUGUGAUCGGCUGUAAAUGACAACUGGUUCAUCGUAAAUAAGCUCAGUAACAUCUGUCCCGGUCAAAGGAUUUGCCAAAUCACCACAAUUCACAUCAGUUGAUGCCUGAACUGGAAAAGGACCAAAUACAUCAGUAAAGUCUAGCUCAACGUGGUCUGACACUAGACUGUCUGGAGGGUUCUCAGAAAAAAACAACUGGUUAAGCAAUGGCUUGCACAUGUUGGUCUUGGUCAUCCCAGAUAAUUGAGAGGAAACCAUGUUACCAGGUAUUAUUAGGAUGCCAACUGCAGAUGGUUGAAGCAAUCACUCCCUACACAUACUAACUGCAGUUGGCCAAAUAUAUCACGGCUAAAUCGUGAUCUCUGUGCAAAUCUCCAAGACACGAAGAGCAGAGGGACUCCUGUCAAUGGCCUUAAUCAAAAGGAAGUCAACGUAUGUAAUAGGAGUCCCCAGAAACUUUGGCAACAGGUUAAACAAAAUCCAGAAAAGGAAGCUGUUUUUGUUUCCCGAUUUGCAGGAAACAGAGGAUGGCCCAGUAGUUCUUGAAUUCAUGAAGAUCAAAUCUGAAAUUCAAUUUAAAUUCCUGGGUAAGAAAAUCAUCAAUACGAAAGAAAAUAACUGCAUAUGUAUUUUGGGACGAACAAACGAUCAAACCAGAUGAGUUCCGGAAGAAAAAGGCAAUAAUAAUAAUAAUUUAAAAAGAAAAUACAAUAAUCAGAUAAGCAAUGAGCAUUUCCAAAUUCAAACUCUCUCAAAAAGGAAAGAAAAUCCAGAAAUCAAAAUCAUAUUCAAAGCCAAAAACCUAACCUGAAUAAACCUAACGAAAAGUCAUAAUGUAUACCACAUCUGAAUAAAUACUACAGGAAAUUGAAAUGCAGAGAACCAAACCUAGCUGGGGAACCCAAUUACUCAAAUAAAAGACGCAAAAUUGGAGAGGAUUAUGGAGAGUACCUAAG
rnacentral:misc_RNA from 1 species